ACAGACUGAUGGAGCAUUGGACAGAUGGAUGGAGAGACAGGUGCAUAGACAUUCUGCAUGGACCAAUGUGCUGAAGGACAUCUGAGAGGAUGGACAGAUGAACAGAGGAUGGACCAGUGUCCUGAUGGGAAGAAGGAUGUGUGGAUGGAUGGAAACACUCCAGGCCCAGGGCCUGUGUGCUCUGCAUCCCUAGGGAGGGGCCAGCAGAUCAGGAGCCCCAACCUACACUUCCCAGAAGCUGUGGGUCCUCGGCCAGGAGCACUCAGUUCACAGCAGCCACAGGAAUCCUGGGCAGAGCAGCUCUUGAGCCCUGGUCUCUGUGCCUCAGCCUGGUCUGCGUACCUCAGAGGGCCCUUGUGUGGAGCCCUGGUCUGUGUGCCUCAGAGGCCCUCGUGGGGAGCCCUGGUCUGUGUGCCCCAGCCCGCCUCAGUGACCCCCAACAAAUUCCCCCCCUAUCAAAAUCACUAUAGCUGUAGUCCCAGCUACUUGGGAGGCUGAGGCAGGAGGAUUGCUUGAGCACAGAAGUUGGAGGCUGUAGUGAGCCAUGAUCUCGCCACUGCACUCAGCCUGGGUAACAAAACAAGACCCUAUUCAAAAACAGUAAAUAAAUGAAAGAAAACCCACUGCCACAUUCCUUAUGCUAAUAAGGCUAGCCAGCCCUUAAUGUGUGUGCAGAUGAGAUCUUACUCAAACUCAUUCACACAGAAGUACAGGCAUGUGUCACCUAACAACCAGGAUACGACAGGGAUACUUCCAAGAGAUGUGUUGUCAGGCAAUUUCAUCAUUGUGCAGACAUCAUAGAGAGCACGGACGUAAAUCUAAGUGGCAGAACCUACAGCACACCUAGGCUAUGUGGGAGAGCCUGGGCUCCUGGGCUACAAACCUGUGCAGCAUGUAGCAACUGCGACACCGUGGAAUUAUGUGUGUAGCUAAUCAUAGAAAGGGUACAGUAAAAAUACGGUAUAAAAGAUGUUUUAAAAUGACACAGGUGUAUAGAGCACUUCCCGUGAAUGGAGCUUGCGGGACUGGAGUCGCUGUGGGAGAGUCAGUGUGUGGUGAGUGUGAGGGCCCAGGGCAUUACUGUCCACUCGUAUGUGACUGGCAGUGUAAUAGGUGUGUUCACACCAGCGUCACCACAAACGAGUGAUAACGUGUUGCACUGUGACAUUACACGCCGCAACCUCACUAGGCAACGGGAAUUUUCAGCUGCUUUGUAGUCUUAUGGGACCACCGCUGGAUAUACAGCCUGUCAUUGACAAACUUCGUUAUACAAUGCAUGACUGUAUUCUAAAAUAAAUCACUCAGGCCAUAGCACCACUCUCCUCCACUCUGCUGCCUCCAGAGUGUGUAAGUACAGACAGGUCACUUGGCCAGUGCGGGCCUCAGAUUCCCUGUGAAACACGAGGCCGAGUCAGACGCACUCCAGGGUCUCUUGGCCCUGAAAGUCUGUGACUUUGUGGCAUCUCUGCCCUAGGCUGUGGGGUGAGACCGGGCCAGGUCGCCAGGCUCCUCACACUGCGGGAGGGCCCUUCGUCCAAGCCCAGCGGCUCCUGCAGAACCUGAGAGCUGUGCCAGGCGCACCUGGGAGAGCAAAUCAGCCAGACUCUAAAGUGGGGUCCAGAGCCAUCUCCCUCUGAAAGAGCUGAUGACGUGGUUUGGAUCUGUGUCCCCCCGGCGUGUCAUGUCGAAUUGUAACCCUCAGCGUUGGAGGUGGCGCCUGGUGGGAAGCGACUAGAUCACGGGGGCGGUUUUCCCAUGACUGGUUGAGCACCAUCCGCCUUGGUGAGUCCUCACGAGCUCGGCCAUUUACAAGUGGGUAGCACCUCCCGCCUCACUCUCUUGCUGCUGCGCUGGCCGUGUGGCAUGCCUGCUCCCCCUUAGCCUUCUGCCAUGAUUGUAAGUUUCUUGAGGCCUCCUCAGAAGCUGAGCACAUGCCAGCAUCAAGCUUCCUGUACAGCCUGAGGAACCGUGAGCCCAUUACUUUGCUUUUCUUUAUCAAUUACCCAGCCUUGGGUACUUUAUAGCAGUGCAGGAAAGGACUAAUACAGCCAGGGAUGGUGACCCGCAAGGCCUGGAACCAGACCCCAAAUGUGGCCUUCCCCAGCUCUUAGCGCCUUCCAAGUCUAAGCUGACAGCUCGGCAUUGUUGCAGGUGGAAACACACCUGGAUUUUCUGAACAGCUGGGGAGGGAACAGCUCCUCUUGGAGAGGAAUUGUCUUCGUUUAGGAAAAAUGCUUUUAAAGGGCACAUUUCAACCCGGGGCCAAGGCCACAAAAGAGACGUUAGAAACGAACAAAAUUUAGAGGAAAGAGCAGAGGUCAGAGUGAGGGGUUGAGGCAGGAGGUCCCUGAGUGAAGCUCCCUUCCACCCCUGCAUCCCCCACACUUUCAGGGGGCGGCCAAAGGAGUUGUGUGUCAUGUUCCAUUUGAUGCUGUUUGCACUACGGUGAUCUCAGCGCCCCCAUCCCACCCCAAACGUCUGCGGUGUCUCCCACACCCAGGUGCCUUGUGCCUGUGGAUUGCACUACGGUGAUCUCAGCGCCCCCAUCCCACCCCAGACGUCUGCGGUGUCUCCCACACCCAGGUGCCUUGUGCCUGUGGAUUGCACUACGGUGAUCUCAGCGCCCCCAUCCCACCCCAAACGUCUGCGGUGUCUCCCACACCCAGGUGCCUUGUGCCUGUGGAUUGCACUACGGUGAUCUCAGCGCCCCCAUCCCACCCCAGACGUCUGCGGUGUCUCCCACACCCAGGUGCCUUGUGCCUGUGGAUUGCACUACGGUGAUCUCAGCGCCCCCAUCCCACCCCAGACGUCUGCGGUGUCUCCGACACCCAGGUGCCUUGUGCCUGUGGAUUGCACUACGGUGAUCUCAGCGCCCCCAUCCCACCCCAAACGUCUGCGGUGUCUCCGACACCCAGGUGCCUUGUGCCUGUGGAUUGCACUACGGUGAUCUCAGCGCCCCCAUCCCACCCCAAACGUCUGCGGUGUCUCCGACACCCAGGUGCCUUGUGCCUGUGGAUUGCACUACGGUGAUCUCAGCGCCCCCAUCCCACCCCAGACGUCUGCGGUGUCUCUGACACCCAGGUGCCUUGUGCCUGUGGAUUGCACUACGGUGAUCUCAGCGCCCCCAUCCCACCCCAAACGUCUGCGGUGUCUCCGACACCCAGGUGCCUUGUGCCUGUGGAUUGCACUACGGUGAUCUCAGCGCCCCCAUCCCACCCCAAACGUCUGCGGUGUCUCCCACACCCAGGUGCCUUGUGCCUGUGGAUUGCACUACGGUGAUCUCAGCGCCCCCAUCCCACCCCAGACGUCUGCGGUGUCUCUGACACCCAGGUGCCUUGUGCCUGUGGAUUGCACUACGGUGAUCUCAGCGCCCCCAUCCCACCCCAGACGUCUGCGGUGUCUCUGACACCCAGGUGCUUUGUGCCUAUGGAUCUGGGGGGAAUGGGGGCUGAAUGUCACAUCUGAGUCUCUGCGGUUCAGAAACGUGUGCAAGCACACGUACCGACCUCAACACCGAAUUAACUCAGCCAAAGCAGGCCUCAGAGCCACAGGUGAUAUUACAGAAACCUUAGCAAGGGCUUCGGCCUUCCCCAGGACACAGACAUGACCUGGCACUUUUAGUGCAAUGAGGAGCGGGAGACCACAGGCAGAGUGAGCAACCAUCCAGGUUUUCCAGGACCAACGGGUUUCACAAGAUGCGGGACUUUCAGGGCUAAAACCAGGAAAGCUCCCAGCAAACUGGGGAGAGUUGAUCCCUGUAAACAGCCACCACCUGGGUCAGAUGGACCCCAGCUGGAGGCCAGACUGGGUCUUUACACACUUGCCCUGAGUUAGCGCUCACAUUAAAGGAAUAAUGGGGGGUGGACACCAUUCCCUCCACUUCACAGAGGAGGAAACUGAGGCUGAGAGAAGUCCGUCAACUUGCACAGGACCACACUGCCAGCGAGUGACAGAGCGAGGAUUUGAGCCCAAGGCCCGUGCUCUUAAGCUGUGUGUUGUCACGUGGUAUCCGGAGGAUCCUCGACUUGUCAAAAACUGAAAUCAACACCCUCAACAGCCUUACUCUGUGCCCCGGUCCAGGGCCUGGCCCAGGAGUCCCCUUGCUUUCUGUAGCCCUCUCUGCAUUCCUACCAAUGCCUUUGCCUGCCUAGGACCACCCCCUGCCUGUAGGUCGCAGUAGCCCUCUGCCACCCUUCCCACGUAUCAGCCUGGCAGAGCCCUGUGGAAUUUCAUCACACAAGCCCCUCUGGAUUCAGAAGAAUCACAAAUGCUGCCUGGUUGCUGUUCUCAGCCCCCUCCCCACUGUGUCCCUGUCCCAAACACCCCCUGACCCUCCGCCAAGCCUGCAGGCAGCACCUCCCUCGUCUGCUCCUCCCUCAGGAAACAGCAUUUCCCGCCCAGCCUGGGGAUUUCCAAGCUGGAAAUUCAAACAGCUCAGCACGGAAUAGGCUCCAACAGGGUCAGGUAACGGAAAUUACAAGAUGGUAAAUUAUUCCAGGGAAAGGGCAAUUUUCCUCAUAUGCUGCCUGACUCUGAGAACACUGUGAUCAUGGUGGAAAUUGGAGGGUCAGAGCUGGUGUCUAGGGAAAGAGAAAGGAAGGCACUGUGCCCGCCGCUGUCAGUGAAGCCCCAGGUGUGAGAGAGGGUGUGAGGUCAAUCCCAGGCUGGGCCCACAGCCAGGCACGUCCUCGCUAGAGGCCCAGGACCUGCCACCAGCCACAGCUGAAGAGGCUGGGGCGUCAAGGCAGAAAGCCAACAUCCCGGAGUCAUACAAGUGCACGUUCUCUUCCCAGCUCUGGCACAUACCAGCUGUGUGACCUUAGGUAAGUAACUUGACCUCUCUGAGCCUCCUGGACACAGCAGUAGUGAGGGCUACAUGAAAUAACGUGGGGCACAUGGUCAGAAUGGUGCAGCAGUAAAUGGCAGCUGCCCACUCCCGUGAUCAGAGGGCUCUGGGUGCGAGCUGCAGCAGGGCGUGGUGGAAACUGCCAUGAGAUGCAGGACCCUCCAAUUAUCUAGGGGGCCAGGCCCAUCUCAGAGGAGCAGCUCCAGAGGUGAGCGCACACCACUGCUAAUUCUGCAGAGGGUCCGGUCUGACUCCUACCUCCCACCCAGCCAAGGCUCUCACCUGUGUACCCUCUCCUGUCUCUGAGGCUUCCAGGUGAUGGAAGUUUAUCCUUUCCCUUGCCUAUUUGUGUUAUGUUGUGGUUUUAUGAUUGCUUUUUAGCCCGUUUUAUGGAAAUCUUUCUAAGAUGUACUAGGAGCACCUCCUUUUUCCAGAUCAACGUAGAAGUGUCUUGUAAACUUCGAUGACUCGGUGCUGUGGAAGUAAGGAGACCUCUUUGUCCCCACACUGCCUGACCGCGGCGUGUUGGAGCUGCCUCCUUCUCCAGCCCCAGACAGCCCUCCCAGCUUCCUCUUGAAUCUGCAGCCGGUUACCCCUGGGGAGACCAAGCCUUGCUGGUGGAGGGGAGAUAAACAAGCUCACCAAAUCAUUAUUCUUAAUUUGCAGGAAGGCCAAAGCUCCCUCUGAGCCGAGCUCUAAAGACAUUUUUUACUGUUUAGAAGCCUUUGAUUCCUUUACUUCCCAGCAACUGGCUGAGUUCCCAGGGCUGAAGUUGCCUUGAAGUUUGACUGCUGAAUAAGAAAAAGAGUUUUCCUCUGUUUUGUUGUUAAUCCAGAGUUUGAGCUGGGAGCAUAAAGAUUUCAAACAUACCAAAUAGGAUUUCUUCAACUAGAUUGUUUUGGAAAAUACAAAUAUGAGAUCUGAGAAGGACAGAUACAAAAGAAAAAGAAGUCUCAGUUCCAGGCUAAGGUGGACGGAAAGGGGGUGCCCUAAGGAGGCUCGAACCUGAGACAGUCUGAACCAGAAAAACCUCCCCUAGAGUUUGGGGGCUGGCGUGCAGCUGCUCACAUUUUUAUCUUGCUAAAUUAAGAAUAUAAAAUAAGAACCAUUGGAUAAGAUCACCCUUAUUUUAGAAAAGAGAGGGGAAAAGUCAACCAAAAAAGCUGUUUUUUUUUAAAUUAAAGGGAUUUAACUUUAUGAAAAA